rnacentral:ribozyme from 1 species
AGUUCAAGGUCAAAACCUGAAAGCAGAAAUAGAAAAAGAAAAAAAAAAAAGAACGCAUCAGAAAGUAGGAGAGAAAACAUGACCAAAAGGGGAAAUGUUAAAAGGAAUACUAACCGUUUCCUCACUUGUGUGGCAUUAGUUUCCUCUGCCUCUGUCUCUGCCUUUCAAACUCCUGGUUU